AACUUUGCGCAGUGGCAGUACCGUAGCCAGUGAGGUUUUACCGAGGCGCGGUUAUUGCUAGUUGAAAACUUUUCCCAAUAUCCCGCACGACGACUCGUCUAAACGACAGUCGGCGUUGCAAUUUUUGAAGGCUCUUCACAGAG
rnacentral:snRNA from 1 species